rnacentral:rRNA from 1 species
GCGUGGCGACAUGUGGAGCUGACUGAUACUAAUAGAUCGAGGACUUAACCAC